UACGUAGGGUGCAAGCGUUGUCCGGAAUUAUUGGGCGUAAAGAGCUUGUAGGCGGUUUGUCGCGUCUGCUGUGAAAUUUCGGGGCUCAACCCCGAACUUGCAGUGGGUACGGGCAGACUAGAGUGUGGUAGGGGAGACUGGAAUUCCUGGUGUAGCGGUGAAAUGCGCAGAUAUCAGGAAGAACACCAACGGCGAAGGCAGCUCGCUGGGACGGUACUGACGCUGAGACGCGAAAGCGUGGGGAGCGAACAGG
rnacentral:rRNA from 1 species